UCCUGGUAUGCGUUGGUCACGGUCGAUGUCGAUGGUGGUCUCGAUCAGCUGUCUGUGUCAGUUGUUGUCAUGAUUUGUGUAUGUCACGGGCACUGUUGAUGUUGAUGCGGUUUUGAACGGCUGUCCUUUACAAUAUAUAUAUAUAUAUAUAUAUACACUCUCGUAUCCGUUGAAACGGUCGACAAUUUCUGGUUGACAUUGGGAGGUGCUGCUGCUGUUUGAAUCACAGUAUAACUUUGCUCUCUUACUUUUUUCACGAUGUCGACUAGGAAUUUCGACAUCACGCCUAACCCUGUGACUUCCGGUACGAGCCUCGAAGAAGUUGAGAAAAAAUUGGAUGACGCUAACUCAGACGUCUCGAAUGAAGUAAACUCAACAUCCAACCGACGCAAUGCGCCGUUGAAAUUCUUAGGUGGAGGCAUUUUCAAUUCCGGAGACAUCUAUCGUCACUACCCUCCGGAAACAAUUUUCAAGCUGGGAGAUAAAGGAUCUGGCCU